GGGUAUAGCGCAGUCCGGUAGCGCGCCUGCUUUGGGAGCAGGAUGUCAGGAGUUCGAAUCCCC
rnacentral:tRNA from 1 species